GCCUGUCUGGCUCAGCUGGAAGAGCAUGUGACUCUUGAUCUCAGCGUUGGGAGUUCAAGCCUCACGUUCGGUG
rnacentral:tRNA from 1 species